rnacentral:lncRNA from 1 species
UGGCCACGUCGAUGGAUGCGGCGGUCAGGGACCCGACCGACGCUGAGGGAGCAAGGGAAUUGCAGAGAUCGGGGUACGAUGCUUUUUUGCAUUCGGAGGUGGCGUCGAAGAGGGAGCGGUCAUUGACGCGGCGGAGGACGCGAGCUUCUGUUAUGGUGGCCCCGAGAAGGAGGAGCAGAGCGGCAGGCAGGAUGAGUGGGAGAGAGGCGGUUUGGUGCUGUCGCCCCAUGGUGGCUCUCUUGGAGGGUUUGGAAACUGAGGAGAGCCAAAGAGCAGUGGAAGAGAAGAGGGAGGCGGAGGUUGGACAUAGAUUUGCAAGUGUUUAUAUAGGUGUGCGGAGAUGGAUGUGGCCAAAUGUACGUGAAGGAGAGAGGAGGAGGAGGGAAGAAGGAUCCGUUCUCCUGGUUUAUCUCCCAAACAUACGUGGGUGUAGGGCUGACCAUAAAUGUCGCUGUGGGUCCGACUUGGUCAGAGCUAAAAAAAAAAAUCAUAAGUAUUUUGUUUAUCCUCCCUAACGACUCACUCGUUGCUAUUUAAAUACCAGGAAGGAGGACUCCUGUCAUAAUAAAAUAGUUUUUUUUAUUUUUUUUAAUACUAUUUUUCUUUUUUCUCAUCUUAAUCUUCGACUCGUAUACAUUCUAACUCUUACGAACAGAGGAGGAUACAUUCAUAGUAUUAUAUCCCAUCUACUUUGUAGGUUUUUGAAUUUAGAGCACUUGGCUCAUAGCAUACCUCCACAUCAUCUACCUCAACUAUUCCAAGAGCGUACGUACAAGAAAGGGUCCAUAUUGGCUCCAAGAAGUCAAUCGGUUAUCAUAUGAGAUCCUAAACUUGCGAUAAUAAAAUGAUAAAUUAAUCAUGCUCUAAUCUCUUACGAGGUGGAUAUCCGAUAUCACAUGAAAGAAAAUUCAGAUUAAGCAUGCGCAUAUUUAGCUCGACAUCCUUAUAAGAAGAUGGUGUAUGAUGCAAAUACUAAUAAAUCUUUAGAGAUGAAUAAAAAAAAAAAUCCCAUCCGUAUAUACCCAAAAGAAAAACGCUAAGUUGCACAACAAUAAUGACUAUAAAAAUAAAUAAAUCUGCACAGGCGAAUUAUUUCAAUGAAUCACAAACAAACAAAGGCCUAAUGUGCAGGUAAUUAAUUCUAGACCACUAGAAUCUCAACCAUGUAUUCACAAACCCGAACACCAAGAGUCCGACAAUACAAAAAAUUCCCAAGAAUGUUUGCAUCGAAAAAAAUCAACACGGGAAAAGCCUGAAUAGUUCGGGAAACUCACUUAUUAGCCAACAUAGAACAAAAAAGGCAUGACCUAAGAACGCAAGCUUAAUGAGCAGCACAUAGUCAGAUCAAACCAAACUUUAGGUGUUUUUGCCAUCUUCAUCUAGUGGUAUUUGACUCUUCUAGAACUACUUUUCUAGUGACCCCCUUGUAUAUAUACGUACAUGCAUUAAGACGAUCCAGCUCCUCCCGAUGCUCAUUCAGCACUGCUCGAACGACAUCACCAAUGGAGACCAUGCCAAUCAUACCUUUGUCAUCAACCACAGGGAUAUGCCUAAUGCGGUCGUCUACAGAUAAAAAAAGUCAUAACAACAGUGUUAUCAGUCAAUCUAUCUACGCGAGCAACUAAUUGUACUUACAGAACAAACCUGUCAUAAGCUGCAUGGCCCGCAGAACCUUGGUAUCUGGUGUCACAGUGAUCAAUUUAUUCUGGUCAUAAGAAACCAACGAUACUUUGUCAUAAGGCAGAAUGCAAAUGAAGGAUAAAAUCUUAGUCCAUGUCACCAUUGAACGACAGGUUUGGUACUGUACUGGUAUCAUAUGAUGAAGCAAGUAUCGAUAUGGUACAGUAAAAUCGAUACAGACCAUUAUUAGAACGGAGGGAGAGAGAGAGAGACUAGCUGGAGAUAGUGAGUACAAAAUAACGCAGGAAUGUAUCGGAGGAAAGGCAGCGGUAGGCCGUGACGUGAUAAAGAGAAUGGGUUAGAUUACACGAUUUAUCUAAUUAGAUAAAAUAUAUUAUAAAUAUGAUUUAUUUUGAUCAUGAUUAUUAAUUAAUAAAAAAAAUUAAUUAUAGUAUAAUUCUUUAUAAUAUAUUUUGAUAUGAAACUUCCUUAAUUAUUUAUAUUAGACUAUUUUCUCUCGUCUAUAAAAUGACAUGAUCUUUUAAAGACUCGACGUGAAUUCACAGAUAAUUAAAUACAUGAUAUGUAAAUAAAUAAAUAAAGAUGGAGAUAUAUGAUAUUAUUGGGAGAUUACAUACAUUUUCUCAUAUCACAUUAAUCACGUGAACUAGUUAAUGAGAUAUUACAUAUCUUUUCUCAUCUUCCUUUUAUUCUUAAUCAAUCGCUUAUAACAGUCAUGUGAAGGAUAAGAAAAGAUGAAAAUAUGAGUUUAGUUCUCCUUGCAUACUGGCAUCGUUGUAACUUUUGAAUUCGACAAUGGUGCACCUGCAUAUCACAUAAAAUUUUUUUGAAUGAUAUCUAAAGGUACGCUUCAUAAAUUUGAUCUAUUAUUAUUUGAUUUUAUUUUUUUAUAUUAUAGUUUUUUGCAUAACAAUAACAUAAAAUUAGUUUUUUAUGUUUAUAAUUGGUAUCAAAACCAAAUUUAUGAAAUCAAAUACUUUAGAUAUAUUUGUUAGCACAUUUCACUAUGUUGUUCGAUUUUGAUUUGCAAUGCUUAAACGAUUCAUGUGUAUUACUAAUCUACUUUUAUAUUUAGUUUAACAUAUCGUCUGUGGGUGAUAUAAGAUUCUUUGUGUUUGAUCGAUGGACUAUUGUCGAUAAUUUACUAUUAGCAAUAGUAUUAUUAAGGGUGAUGGUCUUCGAUGGUCGCCAGCCCAAUCAUGGGCAACAAUUGCAUAUGCAGCGAAAGCUUUGUAGAUUACGACAACCUUAUGGCAGAUGCAAUUUGUCUUAUGGCUACGGUGGCUAUGCAACACUACUGCUUGCGAUGGCUUUGGCUAUUGUCACUACAUACGGUGGCUAUAGUAACGUCGCUGCGUGUAAUAACUACAGUAAUGCCAUUGCCUAUGUGGCUACAACGAUUGUUGUUGCUUGAGGCAACUGUAGCAGCAUCGUCACUACUUGUAGUAGUUGUAGCAAUGUUGAUGUGACAACAUAUGUUGCCACACUCGGUGUCACUAAAAGCCAAAGACCAAUGACGUCAUCGGGCAAUGUGUGUGUACACAAUCACGUUGCGACGACUAUGGGGGUCACCUUGAGUCGCACAUGCGUGGUAACAAUUGUUUGAGGCGGGGUGACGACCCACAAGCGAUGAUCACUCAUGACAGUGAUUGUGCGAAGGGAGUAGAAUUAGGGGUGUUUUUUUAAUAAAAGAAUAUUUUUACCCUACAUAAUUAGAAAAAAAAUUAGCUUGUGUCCUUUUGACAAUUUUGAUCUUCACAAAUUAGAUAUAUUUUUACAUAUCAUAACAAAAUUAUAUUUUUACCCUUGAAAAAUUAAAAUUUUCUAACUUGUCUUCAAUGAUAAAAUUGAUUAAUUUGAUUUAUUUUAAUCAAAUAUUUUGAUCGGACUUUAUCAUUAUUGUAUUUUGACUACUUGACUAUAUUUAGGUUUGAUCAAUUAAGUUUUGAUCGAUUUCCACAAAAAGUCAAAAUUUGAUUUUAAUCAACAUUAAUCUUAAUGAGCCUAACUGGGUAAAUGUUCAACUCAAAUCUAUGAGCCUAAUUUGGGUAACUUAAUUUUGGGUCUAGUCAAUUAAAUAUGGUUGAUUAAUAUAAGAGUUCGAUACGAAAUUUUAAAAUAUAGAUAAAUCAUGAUUUUCUUUGAUAGUUUUCUUAUAUGACAUCGAUAAAAUUUUAUAUGUGAUAAAUAAAAAAAUAAUUAUUAUUCUUGAAUAUUUGUUUGAUUAUUCACAUGCAUAUGUUUAAAAUUAUAAAAUGAUAUUUAUUUUUCACAUAAAAACAUAAUUUUUGUUUUUUUUCAUUAUUAUAGUUUUCAUGUGUUUUUCUGAUUAAUAUUUAAUUAUUAUUAUUAUUUAAAUAUUUUAAUAUAAGUUAAAUAAGAAAUUAGGUGAAUAUUCUUUGUAACUCAUAUUUCUAAAUUUUAUCUGAUUGGUAACUAAAGAUAUAUUUAUAAGGUAUGAAUUAUAAUAAAAUAUUAUAAUUUAUAUAAAAUAUAAUAUUUUAAAUUAUAUUAGAUAUUGUUGUAUGGGUCGGUGGCCUAGGGUUAGGUCUUAUAGAUAGGCGACUGAGUCUCUCGAACUCGUAGGCGACGCCGAGGAUGGGUACGAUGGAUUUGACGGAGGAGGGGACGAGCUCGCAGUCGGGCGGGGCAGGCGCAUCCUCCUCCUGCUGCACGUCCAGCAUCGUCGGCAUCCGCGUCAUCUUCCUAGAGGGUGCUUUCCGGAGCUUCAGCCCACCGGCGCCCUCCCCUCCUCCGUGGUUGCUGCCGCUCGCCAUCAAGCCCUGCCUCCCUUCUUUUCCUUCCUCGCUUCUCUUCUUCUCGUCCCAAGCAAAUCUUUAAGGGUUUUUUUUGUGGCAGAAUAGUGUCUUUAGCUUUUCCUUUCUGCGCUCCACCAGCUGUACUGUUCUUUUCCGGGUUUCGAUUUGGCGAUGGGGGGAUCGAAGGAAGGAAUGUGGUACAGGAAAGGAAGAGACGGAGAGAAAAAUAAAAACGAAGGUGGAUGCGAUUGUGAGCGGGAGUCAGGCAAGGACGUAAUUAAUUGGCCAAGCGGACUGGGUUUCGUGUUUCGGACGGCAAGGAUCGAGUCGAUGCUCCGCUUGCCGCCCAGGGCUACCGUAGGAUAUUCGAAAAAGCCAAAACUUAUAGUCAUUUCGUGGAAGACAUGCAUGCAGUGCAUGCGAACGUGGAGUAGCAGUAAGCAAACCAAAUGAAUAAAAAGACGAGGAGAAGGUGGUCUAUAACCGAGACAUGAAUCUUAAACCUCACAGCUUCACAGAUCAUUUUAAAUCAUUUAAUCCAAAUAAAAACAUCCUCCACCUUCACUUCUAUGGUCAAUAUAUUAUCUCGCCAGUUGCUCUUUACGUGGAUGUCUCUCCUCAGUUCUUCAAAGUAGAAGCCAGGUCCAGGCUAUUGCUAACCAGUUUCGAAAGGUGGUCGUUGAUAUCGGCAACAGGUGACACCAAACCCGGCCAAUCCUGGAACGCAUCAGCGCAGUUGGCCUUGAGGCUCAUCGCGGCGGAGAGGUUCACCAUGAGGUCAGUGUGCGCUGCAUCCUUGAGGUUCUUGGCUGACAACUGGAGACUGUCAGCUACGGAGCUGAAGGCAUCACGGCAAACACACAGGGUGGACUUCAUCAGCUUCUCGGUGCCAGGGGCUUUCAUAAGCUUGGCGGAAAUGGCUGCUGCCUCCUUGGCUUUGGACGUGGCCACGUCGAUGGAUGCGGCGGUCAGGGACCCGACCGACGCUGAGGGAGCAAGGGAAUUGCAGAGAUCGGGGUACGAUGCUUUUUUGCAUUCGGAGGUGGCGUCGAAGAGGGAGCGGUCAUUGACGCGGCGGAGGACGCGAGCUUCUGUUAUGGUGGCCCCGAGGAGGAGGAGCAGGGCGGCAGGCAGGAUGAGUGAGAGAGAGGCGGUUUGGUGCUGUCGACCCAUGGUGGCUCUCUUGGAGGGUUUGGAAACUGAGGAGAGCCAAAGAGCAGUGGCAGAGAAGAGGGAGGCGGAGGUUGGAGAUAGAUUUGCAAGUGUUUAUAUAGGAGGAGCUUGGAUAGGUGUGCGGAGAUGGAUGUGGCCAAAUGUACGUGCAGGAGAGAGGAGGAGGAGGGAAGAAGGAUCCGUUCUCCUGGUUUAUCUCCGAACCAUACGUCGAUGUAUGGCUGACCAUAGAUGUCACUGUGGGUGCGACUUGGUCAGAACUAAAAAAAAACCUAACGAUUCACUCGUUGCUCUUUAAAUACUAGGAAAGAGGACUCCUGGCAUAAUAAAAUAGUUUUUUCUUUUUUCUCGCCUUAAUAUUCAACUCCAACACAAUCUAACUCUUACGAUCGGCGGAGGAUACAUUCUUAGAGACCGUGUUGGCUCGUAGGUUUGUGAAUUUAGAGUGCUUGGCUCGUAGCUUACCUCCACAUCAUUUACCUCAAGUAUUCCAAGAGCGUGCUUACAAAAAAGGGACCGUGUUGGCUCUAUUAUCCUAUAUUUAUAUGAACGAACUGAAUCCGACAGCUUCGCAUCGGUCUUAGGAGGGCUUUCCAAAGCGUCCAACCAGGCCUCACAACCUACUCCAGAAGAAACUACAAUCACCAUCUGAUAUAUUCCCAACGACGAGCAGUGCCAUCCUUCGACGGGCCCAACAUGACCUGCCUUUGAAUUCCACUGAGACUAACUUGCGUUGUAAGCUCUCAUUUCCAUCAUAAUCCAAACAAUUUAAUCUUACGGCUUUGAAAAUAUUGUUAAACAGACAUCAUCAAUACAAAAAGAAGUCAAUCGGUUAUCAUCUGAGAUUCUAAACAUGCCAUAAUAAAAUGCCCGAUUAAUCAUACUCUAAUCUCUUACGAGGUGGAUCUCUGAUGUCACAUGGAAGACAGUUCGGAUUAAGCAUGCACACAUUUGGCUUGACAUCCUUAUAAGAAGAAGGUGUAUGAUGCAGAUACUAAUAAAUCUUUGGAGAUGAAUAAAAAAAAUCCCAUCAGUAUAUACCCAAAAGAAAAACGCUGAGUUGCACAACAAUAAUGACUAAUAAAUAAAUCUGCACAGGCGAAUUAUUACAAUGAAUCACAAAUAAACAAAGACCUAAAAUGCAGGUUAUUUUAAACCAUUAGAAUCUCGACCAGAUAUUCACAAACUCGAACACCUAGAUUCGACAAUACAAAACAUUCCCAAGAAUAUUUACAUUGAAAACAUUACUUUUUGUUGGUAAUCAACACUGGAAAAGCCUGAAUAGUUCACGAUAAUUAACCACACAAAGAGCCACAACCAGCCACAAUAAUAACUCUGAUGAACACAAAAAAAAGUCUGAUGAGCUUGCAUAAACCCACUGAUUAGCCAACAUAGAACAAGAAAAGCAUGACAUAAGCAUGCAAGUUUGAUGAGUAGCACAUGGUCAGAUCAAAGCAAACUUUCGGUUUUUUGCCAUCUUUAUCUAGCAUUAUUAGACUCUGCUAGAACUACUUUUCCAGUGACCCCCUUGUAUACAUACAUGCAUUAAGGCAGUUCAGCUCCACGUGAUGCUCAUUCACCAAUGAGCCUACUGAGAAACUCACUUAUUAGCCAACAUAGGACAAGAGAAGCAUGACCUAAGCACACAUGCUUAACAAAAAGCACACUAUCUGCUAAAAGCAAACUUUAGUUUUUUUCGUCAUCAUCAUUGAACAUUAUUAGACUCUAGAUCUACUUUGCUAGUAACCCCCUUGUAUAUAUGCAUUAAGGCGGUCCAGCUCCUCCCGAUGCUCAUUCACCACUGCUCGAACAACAUCACCAAUGGAGACCAUGCCAAUCAUACCUUUGUCAUCAACCACAGGGAUAUGCCUAAUGCGGUUGUCUACAGAUAGAAAAAGUCAUAACAACAAUGUUAUCAGUCAAUCUAGCCACACAAGCAACUAAUUGUACUUACAGAACAAACCUGUCAUAAGCUGCAUGGCCCGCAGAACCUUGGUAUCUGGUGUCACAGUGAUCAAUUUAUUCUGGUCAUAAGAAACCAAAAAUACUUUGUCAUAAGGCAGAAAAUGUAAUGCAAAUGAAGGAAAAAAUCUUAGUACAUAUCACCAUUGAACGACAGGAUUCGUACAGUACUGGUAUCAUACAAUGAACCGAGUAUCAAUAUGGUACGGUAAAAUCAAUAUAGACCACUAUUAGAAUAGAGGGAGAGAGAGAAGAAGAGGAAGAGGAGAUAGCGAGUACAAAGUAACACAGAUAUGUAGCAGAGGAGGAGAGGCAGCAUUGGGUGGUGAUGUGACAAGGAGAAGCAACAACAACAAGAAUGAUGGGUGCUGAUGCCAGAUGUUAGACUUAUUGUCCGAAUACAACUUGGUAUUGAUCAGUUGAUAGCCAUAAGCCUGAUGUGGUAAGCUAUCCGAACAAUAAGCUAGGUUCCAGAUUGACCAGAAUGGAAUUGCCUGAUCUAUGUGUCAGUUAAAGCCGUGAACCUGUGGUAUAAACGAGUGCACUGACCAAAAUGUUAAUACAAAUGAAAUGAAUACUUAUCACCUGAAGUUUUACAGUUUCUUGAUUUAAGGAGAGCAGCAUUCAUGCAACUUACUUCUAUUUUAAUGUAAAAAAAAUGUUCCUUAUGAAUUAUACAGAUCAAUAAUGCAUAAUUCCAAAAACCAGGACAAUGAAAAUGCACAAUCUACAUAAACCAAUCUGCAUAUUGCAAUAGAAACUGCUCCAGAUUACCUCAUCAGUCAUAAUGUCACCAACUUUAGUUGAUUUGGAAGAUCUUCCCUGCACAAUAAUUUUUCGGAGAUAAUCUGAAGAUGAAAAAAGUUGUUAUACGUACAGGUAAGUUGCUCCAACUACAGGCAAAAGAAAACAAUCACUAUCAACAUUGUUCUUGUAUUUCUGUAAAGAUUUUGAACAAGAAAAACAGUUAUUUUUUCAGAUCAACUAUUUAUGUGUGAAAUUGAAAGUUGCUUAGCUCAAUUCUCUAUACUCUAAAGCACAUGCUUGAAUAAUAAUUCACCAUUUGUCUUAGUACUUGGUUUAUAAGUUAUACUAAUUGCUGUGAUUUUGAAGCAGCCAUUUUCCAUAAAAUAUCCUAAAGUUGAAAAUUAGCUAGAUAUUUUUAAAGAAUGGCUUAUUAAAUUCCUAAACUGCAUUCUUUGUUCUCAAGUGGUUCUCAUGAACACCGCAAGUAGUUGCAGCUUAACGAACUCUUCUUUGAAAGCAAAGUACAAUAGUGACAUAGUCAGAGGAUCAGCUGCCUAGAUACAGAAUAGUAUGGACUAUGGAGUUGUUCGGAUUGCAAGUGGAUCAUUAAAAGGUAUCAUCUUACCAACUCACAUAUGGAAAUAAAAUGUUAAAAGGCAAACAUGGAAAUUAUGAAAAUAAAGUGACUAUCUUAAUAAUGACAAUCUUUGAACUUGGUGAACUUUCAAAAUUAAUAUCUAAAUUCAGGUGAUUGAUGAUAGAAGUAUUACUAUAGACAGGAUAACCAUAAACUGCCAGUAAAAACUAUUAAGCUAUCCUUGCUCUUGAAGUAGAAAGAACAAAAAAUUACUUACUGAUAUGCCAUUUUGUGCUAGCAUAUUAGUUAAUAACAUUGUAACUGUCAGAAGCCAUAUCUUGCAAGAUCAAUGAAACAGGAACUUCCAAUUUUAUAUUUAGUUGAAUGUAGAGACCUUCAUUUGUCUUGGUCUCCUUCUAAUGCAUGAAAUUCCUUUAAAGAUUCUAAUUUCAUUUGCACCAUCCAAAUGCAACAUGCAGUACAUGAUCACAUUAGAUCUCAUGUUUGCAUUUGAACACAGGUAUGUACAUGAAUGUGCAGAUUUGUGCAUGCAAACAAAUGCAUAUUAGUUUCCAUGUGCAUAUGUAUGUGUGAGCAAAUGUUUUAGUGCAAGUACCGAUUUACCACCAAGAAACAGUGUGAUGGCAAGUGACUACCUCUCUCAGUUACAAUCCCUGCAAGUGCCUUCUCUUCUCCGGGUUUCACCACAACCAAAGCUCCAACAUUGUGUUGUGUCAUCUAAAAGAGGUAGAAUAUUGAGCCAUCAGUUCAUAUACGACUGUCCAAAACAAGUAGUUGGUUCACACAGUAUAUAUGCAUAUGCUUGGUUAUACUAUAUAUACCUCACAUUUCAUUUGAUAUUCCUAUAGGAAAUCAAUAAACGAGUAUUAAUGCAAAAAGCAGCAUACCGAUUUCACAGCAUCAUAAACAGUGUCAUUAGUUGUACACCACAGCCAGGAACCAUCAGCACUCUUGCCUUUAGCUUUCAGAAUAUCUAGGAUAGUGGUGCUCUCAAAUCCAUGCUCUUCCAGUCGAGGUGAAGAGACUGACUUGAAUCGUGAAAACACAGUAGGUAGCAUGACUGGCUUCAUGACACGCAUGUGUUGAAGAAUAGUAUUUUUAAGAAGAUUUCCAUGUAAUCGGAAUGAUUGAAUUGCAACCUGCAUUUCUCCUGUCAUUGGCAAUACAGAUAUUACUACUUGAUUAACUAACUUCAAAAUAAAGAAGAACCUUAUCUAAACAUCUACCAGCCUUAUGCAUUUUGAAGCCAAGAAAAACAUAACAAAAGAGUUGCUUUAUCAAUUAAAGAAUGGCCAAAAGAUAUAUGGAUGGAAUGACAGAGAUAAUCUUCCUUAUGUGUCAUUAAUCCUUCUGAAAUGACAUUCUUCAAUGUCCGCAACAUAAAAAUUAUAGCACUUUAAACAAUUAUAGCUGGAUACCCUGGUAUUUCAAACAAUCAACUUUUCUCUAUAUCCUACAACAGUACCCUUGAAAGUUGGACUUUAGAAGGGCAUCCAAGACACACUAAAGCCAAUAUGAAAAAGAAAAAAAUAAAAGUAGUAAAUUGAUACAUUCACAUGAUUAAAUUCAAUUGUACGCGCUAUUAACAUCAGGAGUUUAUGAUAUUGCAGUAAAGCAGAAGCAUGAUGGUUCACAAACAUCCUCUAUUUACCAUCAUAUUUCCAUGCCAACAUUCAGGCAAAAAAAGGACCUAGGUCAAAAAAUUCCCACGCAGGAUUGUACUUCAAAUCCCACUGCUGUGUACCCAAAUAACACCAUGAUAGGUGAAGGAAACAAAUCCCCAUCUAACAACAGUUUUUGGCUUUUCAGUCCCAAGGCUCCCAGCAUAUCCUUACUACCUACAUAUGGUUAAGACAAUAAUAGGACUUUUAUUUGGUUGGCUCGUUGACUUAUGGGAUGAUCAUUGCUGCCUAUAUCAAAGUUUGUGAUUUGUAUGUUAUCCUAGACUGUAACUAUGGGAAACUCUUACAAGUUUGUUCCUAGAUCAAAUGAUCUUAUAACAAAGUUUUACGAUCCUUUGCCAAGAGGACAAUUGCAUUGCUCAUAUCAUGACAUCAUUAUUGGUGGCCUGUAAUGCACAAUGUGUGACUGGAACACAUUACCUGCACAGAUCGAUCAGUAGCUGUGUUCGUAAAGGCACAAAAAAGUUAAAAAAAAGGGAAGGGAUUAAAGAAGAUAUAGAUGCAUGCAUGUAUCUUUAUGAAUAUGUAGAUGUAGAUAAAAAUAAACUUGUUUAUGUAUAUCGAACACAUACACAUACCUGUCAGUGGCCUUGAAUUGGUUCCUAAUGGCCUCGAGUUUCUGCAUCGAAGACCUCAAUAUUAGCUUUAAAGGUCAGAACCAAUCUGGUUCAAUUUUUGUGAAAAAUCCAAACCAAAAUAAAAAGAAAAAAAAGGAAAGAAAAGGUUUUAAAGGUUUGGAAUGAAAUGCUCUGGUCUCUGAUCCAGUCUGGUUACAGGCUGGUAUAUACCAAGUGAUAGGCUCACCAUACAUGUAGACAAGCAAAGCUAUAGGUUUUAUGUAGAACUAGAUGUAUGCAUAUCUCAACUAAGCAUCCUAUUUUAUGUUUUCUUCUUCAUACCAAAAUUUAAUAAGCUAAAUUGCAUAUUAUCCAAUCAACCAUUACUAGUUAGUUUCAUGGUUCUAAUGACCCUGAUCGAAAAGCUCUUGAUAUAUAACCCUCAACAUUAACAACCACUUUAUUUUGUCCAAUCCCACUUUCAGAAAAUAGUUGUUUGAUUGCCAAAAUGACAUUUUAAAUGUCAGGAGCUGUAUCAAAGAUCAGCUGCUAAUCCCUUGUAAUACCUUGUGCUCCUUAUUGUAAGCCAUAGAAACAAAAAUAUUUCUGUGAGUAGCAUGCCUGAGACCCUUAAAGAGUGUAAUACGUAAAAAGAAUACGUAUAAUUGUUUAACCAUUCAAGUCACCCGUUGAUGACAUACUCUUUAAGGAGCAUCUAAGGAACGGUUUCAGUUAUCUUCACAAAGCAAUUCCAGAAUUGGAAGUUGUCUUAUGUUGCACAUUAUAUCAAAUGCAUCACAAUCACAUUCAAAGCACCAUUCUUUUUUUUCUUUUGAAUGGAUCCAAGCUUGGUAUCAAUCCGUAAUAAAUUGUGUUAUCUUUUUUAUCCUCGUCAGCUAAUCAUUUGAUACACAAUAUCUUGACUUACUUUUGAUUAUUUAACUCUGCAUUUUGAAGAAAAAAAAAUAGAUUCUAUCCCAAUAAACAAUCCAUUCUAUGUUAAAAAUGCAAACAGAGGAACAGAACACAAUCUUUUUUCCUUUUUCUCCUUUUGAAUAGAAAAAAAGAUGGUAGCAUUAACACCAAAAACAACAUAAGAUGGAGGCACCUAAAAAAGUCAUUAAAGACCACUUUCCGAAGAGGCAUUCCAUCCGAGUUCCAGUCUCAAAGAACCCCACUCCCAUUUUUUUGAGAGAUACCGAGGCAUAUGUUUUGCCACUAAUAGCUGAAGAAAAGCCAAAAAAACGCCGUGCAGUAACAUGAUCAACACAAUUCUUAAGUCAAAGCUCCUACAAGAGGCCCACAAUUCAUUCAGGCUAUCGCAAGCAAACACAGAAGCACUAUGCCCUGAUCCCUGUUAGAAAUAUCAUAUCAAAUCAGAUCCGAUCCGAUCCGAUCCGAUCGUAUGAGGACAGCUCAAACAACUGGGAUCUCCUAGGUUCUUGAACCCUACGUAAGUUAGAACUACAACCAAAAGGAAGGGAGAAUGAACGAAUCGGCCGAAUAGACCCGCACACGAAAGGGUAGAAGGCAGGCAUUCUACAUACGUGUGAUCUUGGAAUUAAGGGGCUCACCUCCGGGAGGAAGACGAUCCCGCUGACUGCCUGAGACUCGCCGAUCGCGAGAAGAGAAGCGGAGGAGAGAGAGGGUAGAGAGG